rnacentral:rRNA from 1 species
UACGGGAGGCAGCAGUAGGGAAUAUUGCACAAUGGGGGAAACCCUGAUGCAGCGACGCCGCGUGAGUGAUUGAAGCAUUUCGGUGCGUAAAGCUCUAUCAGCAGGGAAGAUAAUGACGGUACCUGACUAAGAAGCCCCGGCUAACUACGUGCCAGCAGCCGCGGUAAU